rnacentral:lncRNA from 1 species
UUGAAGAAUCCCGGCAGCGGAGUUUUUUUUAAUACAUAUGUUUUCCCUUAUCAUUUGGUAACAUUAUCUUUUUCAAACUUCUUUUCAGUUGCCAAAAUCAGAGUACAUCUGAGGCAGGUGAUAUGUUAGAUGGAAAAUGCUUGUAUCUUAUUUAACAGGUUAUUGCAUAUCUGUAGGUCUUUGAUCCUUUGCAUUCAAUAUUCAAUAUUUAGAGUGAUAUGUGUAUAUUCCCUCAUGUUCAUGAAGAGAAAAUUCAUCGUUGAACUUAUUCUUCUCAUUUUUGUGUGAAUCAAGUUGGAUCAAUCUCAGGUUAUUUAUCUGAACUUGGUCCAGCUGAGGAUUCAUCCUACUAGUUUGGCAUUGAGGCGUAGUAUUUGUUUUUGUUGGUUGAAUUAGUUUCGGUGAUUUCCAGUCUCUGUACUGUCUGAUAAAAUAUACUAAUAGAUGAUUCUAAUAUAAGAUGGUUUGUUCAUUUAGAAUAUAUUGUGGUAUCCCAAUCUAGGUUUUGACUCUAAUAUUUAAUUCCUGCCUCAAUCCUUCUGAAAAAGAAUAUUUUUAGUAAACUUCACUUCCAAAAAAGACUACAUUGUUACUGUUUCAGUUAUGCUUCUUGGUCAAGCUGUUGUAACCUUUACAGAGUCUGGAGGCUUAUUUAUUAUCAAGAGGCUGGUCGGGAUGGAAAAGUAGCAGCAGAGUGUGGUCAGUUUAUUUGAUUCUUUUUUAUAUGUGGUUUAAUCUUGAGAAGAAUCAUUCUACUUAAUUCCAAGAGAACAAAAUGGUUCAUCAUUUAUAGUAAUGUUUGGGAUUGUGAGAUGAGCAAUUUCCCAACUUUUUUGGAGAAAAAUAACCUAGAAUAGGCCUUAAAUCAGUGCUGUUCUUUGUAAAAUUGGAAGUUCUAUGUUAGAAUUCAAAAGCUAAAGACAUAAUUUCUCUGAAUACUUAAAUAUUGUGAAUUUUUAGGCAUGGAAAAGGGUUAUGAAACCUCUUAAUUCUAAUCUAACAUGGAUUCAACUUUGAUGUCCACAUAAAUUUUGGCUUGAUUACAUUUCAUUGUUUCACCUUUUCUAGUCUGUUUGACAUUUUUUAUGAAGUGAUUGACUUUAAAAACUUAGGAGCUAAUCCUAGAAUCAUAUUUUUUAAAAAUGCUAAACAUCGUAGGGUCAAAAUGGUUCUCAUUACAAAAUGUUAAAUGAAUGUACAAAGUGUCUUCAAGAAAAGUAAACAUAAUAAUGACACAGGUAACAAAUAAGGUAGAAGUUGAUGAUAGGAUUUUAGUGCACUUACUAGGAAAAUAGAUAUGGUGAAAGGAAGUCUGACAUUGUCAAAGUAUUAAUAGAUGAAUAGCUUUGAUAAGGAACCUCAUGCCUUCUCCUUGGUUUAGCAGAGUUUAUCCUGCAGUGCAUAAAGUUUGGUUUUGAAACGCUUACACCAAAUGCUCUCUUAUUCAACUUAAAUUAUUCAGAAGAGUCAUGUUUAUCUAUAGAUCUGAGACAUUGGCAUCAAGAGGCACUACAUGUAUUUUUAAGCUGUUUGAUUUUUUGUGAAACAGUUCUGUAUGCAAACUUGCCAAGAACAUUUAUGCUUCUACCAAGUCAAAGAAGUGAGGAGCAGACAAAACAAACAUAUAAGAUGUUAUCUGAUUGCUUUAGGUUGUAAGAUGAACGACUUCAAUUAGUACUGUGGUUUCCAUCUUAUGUUUUGGUUAUGUUCAACAGAUAUGGAAUUUAACACUUCUUGCUGUAGAGCCAAGACACUUGUGUAGUACUUUGGGGAGCACUUUCUUAUGGAGAAAUGUCUCAUGUAUGUCACGACACACUGGCUAUCGUGGUUUCUCUUUUGUUCCUUACAAGCUGCUUCAUGUCAAGGAAGUGUGCUUGUGCUUUUCUGUUAAUUUUCUUCCACUUUCCCUUUCGGGGUGGGUGUGGAGGCAAAGAAUGCCCACAGCACUGUAAAUGUUGUUUCUAAGGAGUAUUUGACUCCUCUUAAGUUAGUCUCUAAAUUGAGGUUUCAGGUACUCGUUUUAUCACAGGACAUGCCACAUUAAAGACGAGAUUCAUUUGUAGCAGUUUGAG